CCUACGGGAGGCAGCAGUCGAGAAUCAUUCACAAUGGGGGAAACCCUGAUGGGGCGACGCCGCGUGGGGGAAUGAAGGUCUUCGGAUUGUAAACCCCUGUCAUGUGGGAGCAAAUUAAAAAGAUAGUACCACAAGAGGAAGAGACGGCUAACUCUGUGCCAGCAGCCGCGGUAAUACAGAGGUCUCAAGCGUUGUUCGGAAUCACUGGGCGUAAUGCGUGCGUAGGCUGUUUCGUAAGUCGUGUGUGAAAGGCGCGGGCUCAACCCGCGGACGGCACAUGAUACUGCGAGACUAGAGUAAUGGAGGGGGAACCGGAAUUCUCGGUGUAGCAGUGAAAUGCGUAGAUAUCGAGAGGAACACUCGUGGCGAAGGCGGGUUCCUGGACAUUAACUGACGCUGAGGCACGAAGGCCAGGGGAGCGAAAGGGAUUAGAUACCCGUGUAGUC
rnacentral:rRNA from 1 species